rnacentral:tRNA from 1 species
CCGGGUGUAGCCCAGUUGGUAGGGCGCCUGCCUUGGGAGCAGGAGGUCGUCGGUUCAAGCCCGGCCACUCGGACCA